rnacentral:snoRNA from 1 species
CCCAGCAGCAGUCAGCUGCCGGGACAGCCAUUCCUGUGACAGCGUUACACUGCUGGGAGAGGAACGCUCUGCCCUCUCCUCCAGUUGCCUUCGCUGUUCCGUGGCGUCCGGCGCUGGUGAGGGCAGGGCUGUGCUCCCCUGAGGUGUGCUAGCGCGCACCCUGGCUGCUUAGUGCUGGUGUGGGAGCAGACACA